rnacentral:rRNA from 1 species
AGAGUUUGAUCCUGGCUCAGGAUGAACGCUAGCGACAGGCCUAACACAUGCAAGUCGAGGGGCAUCGGGGCGAGGAGCAAUCCUUGCCGCCGGCGACCGGCGCACGGGUGAGUAACGCGUAUGCGACCUGCCCGUUGCAGGGGGAUAAUCGGGAGAAAUCCCGUCUAAUACCGCGUAAUGCCGCGGGGCUGCAUGGCCCUGCGGCCAAAGGGAGCGAUUCCGGCAACGGAUGGGCAUGCGUGACAUUAGCUAGUUGGCGGGGCAACGGCCCACCAAGGCGACGAUGUCUAGGGGUUCUGAGAGGAAGGUCCCCCACACUGGUACUGAGACACGGACCAGACUCCUACGGGAGGCAGCAGUGAGGAAUAUUGGUCAAUGGGCGCGAGCCUGAACCAGCCAAGUCGCGUGAGGGAUGACGGCCCUACGGGUUGUAAACCUCUUUUGUCGGGGAGCAAAUUCCGCCACGUGUGGCGGAGUCGAGAGUACCCGAAGAAAAAGCAUCGGCUAACUCCGUGCCAGCAGCCGCGGUAAUACGGAGGAUGCGAGCGUUAUCCGGAUUUAUUGGGUUUAAAGGGUGCGUAGGCGGACUGUCAAGUCAGCGGUAAAAUACGGGGGCUCAACCUCCGCCCGCCGUUGAAACUGACGGUCUUGAGUGGGCGAGAAGUAUGCGGAAUGCGUGGUGUAGCGGUGAAAUGCAUAGAUAUCACGCAGAACUCCGAUUGCGAAGGCAGCAUACCGGCGCCCAACUGACGCUGAAGCACGAAAGCGUGGGUAUCGAACAGGAUUAGAUACCCUGGUAGUCCACGCAGUAAACGAUGAAUACUAGCUGUCCGGGGCGAAUGAGCCCUGGGUGGCACAGCGAAAGCGUUAAGUAUUCCACCUGGGGAGUACGCCGGCAACGGUGAAACUCAA